UUCAACCCUUCGUCUUAUUUGAAAAUUUUUUAUGAUUAAUAUUUUUAUUGUUACUAAAUAAUAAAACAUUAAUAGUACUUUACAUAUGAUUAAUUUUUUUGAUUUUUUAAUAAAUUUUUCAAAUGGGACGGAUGGUCAAA
rnacentral:pre_miRNA from 1 species